CCCGAGUUUAGAUAUCGUAUACGUAACUAAAAUAAAGAGCCUUGAAUACUAGAAGAAAAGCACCUAUACCUGGCAAAAUUAAGUGAAUACCUAAAAUUAUGGUCAUUUUAUUUCUAUCUUUUUA
rfam:Gossypium arboreum cultivar AKA8401 contig_22542_1, whole genome shotgun sequence.